UACGUAGGUGGCAAGCGUUGUCCGGAAUUAUUGGGCGUAAAGCGCGCGCAGGCGGCCUUUUAAGUCUGAUGUGAAAGCCCACGGCUCAACCGUGGAAGGUCAUUGGAAACUGAAAGGCUUGAGUACAGAAGAGGAAAGUGGAAUUCCACGUGUAGCGGUGAAAUGCGUAGAGAUGUGGAGGAACACCAGUGGCGAAGGCGGCUUUCUGGUCUGUAACUGACGCUGAGGCGCGAAAGCGUGGGGAGCAAACAGG
rnacentral:rRNA from 1 species